ACAUGGAUUUCUGUCAUCAUAACACAUAAUUAUAAAAUUUUACAAUAUUUUACAGAAAAGGCUUCAUCUGCUAUUCUCACACAAAAUCCCUCAUUCAUGUUUUCUCCGAGUGAUUCUGAAUGGAAAUGCUACUGAGGAGCGGUGCGGGAAGGGCGCUAGUUGAGUUCCAAUGCAUGGGAAAAAUCCUUUCACAUUGACAUUAAUCCCCGAAAUAGCUGGCGAGAGUCCGGCUGACGUCGACAGGCUCUGACAGCAGCACAUUAGGAUCAGACCUGGUCGUGGAACCGAAGCAACUGGGAGAUGGAGCUAAGGCUGCAUGGUCGAAGCAAUGGACUGGAGCCCGCAGCAGUGGCGAUACAAUGCCCGGCCCUCGAAAUGAAAAGCCGUUUUAUGUGCUUAGCCGCGUUGAAGUUGCAAAAAUCGGGCUGUUUUCCCCGGCCUUAUACAGUACUUCCCUUUUUUUUUUUACCCGUCACAUUUUAAGCGCAGAUUUCAUAACCCCGGGCGGCGAAUGAGUGGCGUGUCUGGUCGGAUAGAAUGAUCCUGGCUGGCGGAUGAUGAGAUUGCCAUUGACGUUUUAGUUUUCAAUUAGUUGGACGAAUGGAGUUGCGCUUCUACCCAGGAUUUAUCCAUUUCCCUCGGGGAAACAUUCACUGUGUGCCACUCAUAAAUAUGUAAAAAUCAGCCAACAAACAGAAUCAAAGGAAAGAAGAGCAAGAAUAUUUACCUUUUGCCAGGCAGAUAACAAAAACAUAAAAAUUAAAUAUC
ensembl:ncRNA lncRNA:CR45685 long non-coding RNA:CR45685